rfam:Ananas comosus cultivar MD2 ACMD2_Scaffold_8349, whole genome shotgun sequence.
UGGUUGAAAAGGGAGCUUCCUUCAGUCCAGUCAUAGGUGGAUGUAGGGUUUGAUUAGCUGCCGACUCAUUCAUCCAAAUGCCAAGAAGCGUCCCUUGGUGUCUGAAUGGAUGAUGCGGGAGCUAUGUUGAAUCCAUCUCUAUUUUUGAUUGGACUGAAGGGAGCUCCUUUCUCUACCCCA